rnacentral:rRNA from 1 species
ACCUGGUUGAUCUUGCCAGUAGUCAUAUGCUUGUCUCAAAGAUUAAGCCAUGCAAGUGAAAGUAUAUGCAUAUUUUAUAUGUAGAAACUGCGAACGGCUCAUUAAAACAGUUAUAAUCUACUUGACAUUUUUUCUAUAAGGAUAACUACGGAAAAGCUGUAGCUAAUACUUGCUUUAGCACUCUUGAUUCAUUUCUUGAGUGUGUACUUGUUAAGCCUUUUAAGAAAAAAGUUAUUAACUUAAGGAAUUAUAACAAAGAAGCGACACGUAAUGGAUCCGUCCAUUUUUAGUGUGUAUCAAUCGAGUUUCUGACCUAUCAGCUUUUGAUGUUAGGGUAUUGGCCUAACAUUGCUAUGACGGGUAACGGGGAAUUAGAGUUCGAUUCCGGAGAGGGAGCCUGAGAAAUAGCUACCACAUCUAAGGAAGGCAGCAGGCGCGUAAAUUACCCAAUUCUAAAGAAGAGAGGUAGUGACAAGAAAUAACAAUACAAGGCCAAUCUGGCUUUGUAAUUGGAAUGAUGGGAAUUUAAAACCUUCCCAAAACUCAAUUGGAGGGCAAGUCUGGUGCCAGCAGCCGCGGUAAUUCCAGCUCCAAUAGCGUAUAUUAAAAUUGUUGCAGUUAAAACGCUCGUAGUUGAAUUUCAAGGAAUCGAUAUUUUAAGCAACGCUUUUAGCUUAAUCCACAUAACUGAUACUUCGUAUCGACUUUGUGCGCAUUUUGCUAUUAUGUGUUCUUUUAAUUAAAAUGAUUCUUUUUAAGGAUUUUCUUUGCUUCGGCUUGGAAGUCCUUGUUACUUUGAGUAAAUUAGAGUGUUCAAAGCAAACAGAUAUAGCAUUGCGCGUUUGAAUACUACAGCAUGGAAUAACAAAAUUGAACAAGUCAGAAUUUUGUUCUUUUUUCUUAUUUUGGCUUAGUUACGAUUAAUAGGAGUAGCUUGGGGGCAUUUGUAUUCAGAUGUCAGAGGUGAAAUUCUUAGAUUUUCUGGAGACAAACAACUGCGAAAGCAUUUGUCUAAAAUACUUCCAUUAAUCAAGAACGAAAGUUAAGGGAGUGAAGACGAUCAGAUACCGUCGUAAUCUUAACCAUAAACUAUGCCGACUAGGCUUUGGAUGAAAGAUUUUAAAAUAAGAAUUUUCUCUUCGGAGUUUAUUCUUAGAUUGCUUCCUUCAGUGCCUUAUGAGAAAUCAAAGUCUUUUGGGUUCUGGGGCGAGUAUUCGCGCAAGCGAGAAAGUUAAAAGAAUUGACGGAAGGGCACCACCAGGCGUGGAGCUUGCGGCUUAAUUUGACUCAACACGGGAAAACUCACUAGUUUAAGACAAGAGUAGGAUUGACAGAUUAAUAGCUCUUUCUUGAUUUCUUGGAUGGUGAUGCAUGGCCGUUUUUAGUUCGUGAAUAUGAUUUGUCUGGUUAAUUCCGAUAACGAACGAGAUCUUAACCUGCUAAUUAGCGGCAAAUACGAUAUAUUCUUACGUGGGACUGAAUUCGGUUGAUUUGCUUACUUUGAAGAAAAUAUUGGGAUACGUAACAGUUUCCCUUUCCCUUUUCUACUUAGUUCGCUUUUCAUACUGUUUCUUUUUCGCGUAAGAAUGUAUUUGCUUGAUUGUAAAGCUUCUUAGAGGAACGAUGUGUGUCUAACACAAGGAAGUUUAAGGCAACAACAGGUCUGUGAUGUCCUUAGAUGAACUAGGCUGCACGCGUGCUACACUGAUAUGUAUAACGAGUUAUUAAAAUUACGAUUCAGCUUGCUGUUUCGUAUUUUUCCUCCACUGAAAAGUGUAGGUAAUCUUUAUCAGUACAUAUCGUGAUGGGGAUAGAUUAUUGCAAUUAUUAAUCUUGAACGAGGAAUGCCUAGUAAGCAUGAUUCAUUAGAUUGUGCUGACUACGUCCCUGCCCUUUGUACACACCGCCCGUCGCUCCUACCGAUUGAAAGAUAUGAUGAAUUGUUUGGACAAGAAGAAGGGGGAUUAUAUCUCCUUUUUUCUGGAAAAACCGUAAAUCCUAUCUUUUAAAGGAAGGAGAAGUCGUAACAAGGUUUCCGUAGGUGAACCUGCGGAAGGAUCAUUA